rnacentral:rRNA from 1 species
AGCGUAGGUGGCCUAACACGUCAACUGUGAAAACCCGGAGCUCAACUCCGGACUUGCAGUUGAAACUGGUAGGCUUGAGGACGGUAGAGGAAGACGGAACUGCCAGUGUAGGGGUAAAAUCCUUAGAUAUUGGCAGGAACGCCGGUGACGAAGGUGGUUUUCUGGGCCGGUUCUGACACUGAUGCUCGAAAGCCAGGGGAGCGAACG